rnacentral:rRNA from 1 species
UACGUAGGGUCGCAAGCGUUGUCCGGAAUUAUUGGGCGUAAAGAGCUCGUAGGCGGCCAGUUGCGUCCGCUGUGAAAUCCCGGGGCUUAACCCCGGGCGUGCAGUGGAUACGGGCUGGCUAGAGGCAGGCAGGGGAGAACGGAAUUCCCGGUGUAGCGGUGAAAUGCGCAGAUAUCGGGAGGAACACCGGUGGCGAAGGCGGUUCUCUGGGCCGAUACUGACGCUGAGGAGCGAAAGCGUGGGGAGCGAACAGG